rnacentral:rRNA from 1 species
GGCAGACGGGUGAGUAACACGUGGGAACGUGCCCUUCGGUUCGGAAUAACUCAGGGAAACUUGAGCUAAUACCGGAUACGCCCUUACGGGGAAAGGUUUACUGCCGAAGGAUCGGCCCGCGUCUGAUUAGCUAGUUGGUGGGGUAACGGCCUACCAAGGCGACGAUCAGUAGCUGGUCUGAGAGGAUGAUCAGCCACACUGGGACUGAGACACGGCCCAGACUCCUACGGGAGGCAGCAGUGGGGAAUAUUGGACAAUGGGCGAAAGCCUGAUCCAGCCAUGCCGCGUGAGUGAUGAAGGCCUUAGGGUUGUAAAGCUCUUUCGACGGGGACGAUAAUGACGGUACCCGUAGAAGAAGCCCCGGCUAACUUCGUGCCAGCAGCCGCGGUAAU